UUCAGUCCUUGAGACCGAAUUCCCCCAUUAUUCCACUGCAUGGGUAGAACAAUGGCAACACCAGUGCAAGCUUCCCUGCGCUGCCCACUAAUAUGCCUCACAUCUGACCUUGAGAGGACUACAGCUAGAGGGAGGUGAUCGUUCAGACUUCCAUUACCAUUUAAUCCUUGACUUCU
rnacentral:sRNA from 1 species